GAAACUGAGGCUGAGAGGGUAGAGAACUUUGCCUGAGGUCACUCAGCAGGGACCCACCCAUCACAGUAAAUGCCAGCACUGCUGAUGCCAAAACAAUGUUAUUUGUAGGCCCUCGGAAUUUGUGACCUGAAGGAAGAAGAGCAGGGCCGUGGGAAGUAUGUAACCAGUGUCAUGCCCCUGGUCCCAAGGAAGCAGUGGCUUGGUAAAGAGGGGACCCCCGUCAAUAACUCCCUGUAAUUACUGGGCACCCACUCUGAGCUCCUCAGUGGAAUCCUAAGGUUAAUAAGACUGUCUCUAGCCACUGGGGCUCCCAGCCUGGAGUGAGGUAAGAGGAGUGGAGCCGGCUGGGGAGGGAGACGAACACAUACACAGAAGAUUCAGACACACUUGCAAUGUAUUGCUGGGGAUUCUCCAGCAUUGGCAUGAUGGAGAGGGUGGAGAAUCAUUUGACCGCCUCCGCCUAGGAUUGCAGAGUUCAGCUGGCCAUCAUCCACCAGCCGGGGGACUGUGCACAUCAGUUAACCUCUCCUCUCAGGCCUUGAAAAGCACCAGGCUUAGUACACGUUUGUUAAAUGAAUGCACUGCAGUUUUUUUGCUUGUUAAAGGCAGGUAAUAAUAAUGAUAUUGCUGACUAAGGGCUCCCAUCCACUCCCAGUGAGCCCGGUGCCCCCCCGGGCCUCCUCAGUGAGCUGAGGAGGCUCAGCAGUGCCUGCACGUCCCCUCGCCACAAUGUCAUGUGCCACCUCUUCAAAGGAGGGAUGUACCAGCUAGUGGACGUGACCUUGACUGCAAAGGGCGGCACGCAGCUGAUGUAAUGGUCGCUUAAGUGUUCACAAAUGUAAGUCAUUACUAUUAUAAGUGGUGGGUGAUCAAGUGGCUAGGGGUGCCAUCUUUAGCAAAUAAAAAUAUAGGACGCACAGUUAAAUUUGAAUUUCAGAUAAGAAUUUCUUAGCAUAAGUAUGCCCUAUGCAAUAUUUGGGACACAUUUAUAUCAAAAAAAACUCAAUAUUUAUCUGAAAUUCAAAUGUAACUGUGUGUCCUAGAUUUUAUCUGGCAGCCUUAUUGAUGGUGGCUUAUUGACUGGCUGGGAAUGACAGGGGUGUAGGCCAGGAAAUGGCUCUGUGAAGGCUGCCUAGAACUGAAUCGAACAUGAGGAUGAGUCAGUGUCAAGACUCCCAGUGGGGCCAUCGGAUCAUUACUGCAUGAUCGUCUUAAGCCUUUGUUAGUGAAUCCCUCAGACUCACGCCUUCUUCUCUCCAGGCCUGAACACCCUGUCCUACCUGGUCCUACCUGGAUGCUGGCCUCAGUAAGCUCCUGGGCUCAUUGAAGAUGAACCUAGCAGUAGUAUUUACACCACUUGUUGUGUGCCCACUGUGGGCCCGGCGCCAUGCCGAGUGCUCUAUGGAUGUGAGAGAAACGGAGGCCCAGAAAGCAGAAAUGAUGUGUUAAGAUCACUCAUCAAGCUGAUGGUACAGAGGUUAGAGCCUCUGCUCCCUGCUCUACCUCUUUCCCUUACUCCACAUCCAUGCCUGUCUCUUCCAAUGGGUCGGCAUCCACCCUGACACAUUAAAGCCAAAAGGAACCUUAAGCUAGGGAAGGGGCUCCAGAACUUUAGUGAAAGAUUCAAACAUGUCCACUCAACUCAAUGGAGAAAAUACAAUAUUCAAUCAAUGGUGUUGGGAUGCCUGGAAUAUUGUUGGAGAGGGAUCAUAAAAAUGGAACCAAAACAAUUCCAUUUGGGUCAAAGAUUUAAGUGUCAUAAAGCCAUGUAAAUUCUAUAAGGAAGUAUGGGUAAAUUGAUUUACAUUUUGGAAUAGGAAAGUCUUUCUUUUUUUCCAACUUUUAUUUUAGAUUUGGGGGAUAUAUGUGCAGGUUUGUUAUAAGGCUAUACUGCAGGAUGCUGGGAUUUGGGGUACAAUCAAACCCAUCACCCACAUAGCAUAGUGGGAAGGCUUUUCUAAUCAGGAUGGAAAACCCAGAGUCAUACAGGAAAAGACUAAUACAUUCAACCACAUAAAAAAAUUUUAAACUUCUGUAUGGAAAACCACCAUAGAAAUGUUUUUCCAAUAACUGAGGAAAAUAUGAUAUGGGGAUAUUUCCUUAAUUUGCAAAGAAACUCAUACUAAUUAAUAUGAAAAAACAAUUAUUUUAAUUGCUAAUACUUAAUGAUCAUUUACUAUAUGCUAGACACUAUUUUAAGUAUAUGGAUUAUUUCAUUUAAUUCUCACAGUAAGUAACCCUAUAAGGUAAGUGCUAUUAUUACUAUCUCCAUUUUAUAGAUGAGAACACUGAAGCAGUUUUUUCUAAAGAUAGCUGCCUGGCACAGUGGCUCACAUCUGUAGUCCCAGCAUUUGGGGAGGCCAAGGCAGGUGGAUCACUUGAGGCCAGGAAUUCAAGACCAGCAUGGCCAACAUGGUAAAACCCCAUCCCUACUAAAAAUACAAAAAUUAGCUGGGCGUGGUGGCACCUGUAAUCCCAACUACUCAGGAGGCUGAGGCAGGAGAAUUGCUUGAACCCAGAGGCGGAGGUUGCAGUGAGCCAAGAUCACGCCACUGCACUCCAGCCUGGGCAACAGAGCAAGACUCCGUCUUGGGGAAAAAAAUGCAAAAAUUAGCCAGGCAUGAUAGUGGGCACAUGUAAUCCCAGCUACUUGGGAGGCUGAGGCAGGAGAAUCGCUUGAACCUGGGAGGCAUAGGUUGCAGUGAGCCAAGAUUGCGAUUGCACCACUGCACUCCAGCCUGAGUGACAGAGCAAGACUCCAUCUCAAAAAAAAAAAAAAAGCCAAAGAAUAUAUAUUAGGUUGGUGCAAAAGUAAUUGCAGUUUUUGCCAAUACAAGUAGUUUACAGAAAGAGAAAUAUCAGUGGCCCAUAAACAUGUAGAAAGAUGUUUAAUAGCACUCAUAAUUCAAGAAAUGCAAAAUAAAACUAAAAUUAAACAUCACUUUUUCACCUUUCUGCUUGGCAAAAAUGAAAACAUUUGCCAAUACUCAGGGAUGGUGAGAAAAACUACUUAUAUAACUUAUAUAACUGUUCCUCUGUAGAUUCUGAGUUCUAUCCUAGUAACAGUUCAUGUCACCAAAAAACUACACAUUAGAACCACCUUAGCUUAGCUGCCCAGGAAAAAUGCCUUCAGCCAAGUUCCAUUUUAAUGUUAUACGCUUGGCAUCUCUUGAUGGUUGGCAGAAGAAAUGACCACAUGAAAAGCUGCAUUUUUUUGUCCUGGAAAAACCACCACUAAAGGCAUUGUAAUCUACAUUGAGUAUAUAAGGAAGGGCCCACACAAUAAAUUAUCUGCAGUAUUUACUACCAGGAAAGAUUUACUUUCUCCUGAAGACCUGAUGUGUUAUUUUGCCAUACGAUGGUAAUCAUAUAAACCUCUGUUUCUCGUUUCUCCUUGGCUGCUAAGAAGCUCAAAAAUCACAUCUGAUGAUCCACUCUAGUGACAACAUAGCCAGGGCGAUUGGCAUCUGACUUCUCAACCCAACCUGACCUCAUAUUAGCUUUUUUCUUUUGUCUCCUCUCCCCUUCCAUUAGUUUCUCUUCUUCCACUUGCUGUUUAGUUUUCUAAUUCUAGCUUAACAAAAUUAUUAUAAAUGUGUGUUUUUGGAAGCUAUUUCAAAAUCUUUUGGAAGUAGAUAGGAUAUGUUACAAAUAGUCAAACUCCCUUAGUUUAUAGAUGAGAAAACUCAAGUUCUUUAGAAGUUAAAUGACUUAUUCCAGUGUUAAUCAGCUUAUAUCUGUGUGCACAUGUGACUCUCACUUUAUUGUAAGUGUCUUAGAAUUAUAUUUAUCUCUGAGACUCUGGUGGCCAGCUUUGAGCCAAGUACAUGGUAAAUUGUCAAUGUAUAUAUAUUGGUUGAAAAAAUUCUAAGUGCUGUGAGGAAAGGGACAUUUUUGCAGGGGAUAAGGUCGUAGUAGGUGCUCAUGAGAACUGAAUUCACAACAGGGCGUGGCCUCAGCCUCUGGCCUCACCCCACCACACCCUAGCAUCUCCACCACCCAGGAGUCUCAGGGCUGGGCUUCAUGCAACCCAUCUGCCCUACACCUGCCCGCACUCUGCCUUUGUCUCCACUAUUCCACUUUGGCCCUCUUGCCUUGUCCAGUGAGUUUCCAAAUAUUUCUCUUUUUUUUUGAGACGGAGUCUUGCUCUGUCACCCAGGCUGGAGUGCAGUGUUGCGAUCUCGGCUCACUGCAAGUUCCACCUCCUGGGUUCAAGUGAUUCUCCUGCCUCAGCCUCCAGAGAAGCUGGGACUACAGGUGCCCGCCAUCAUGCCCGGCUAAUUUUUUUUGUAUUUUUAGUAGAGACGGGGGUUUCACUGUGUUAACCAGGAUGGUCUCGAUCUCCUGACCUCGUGAUCUACCCGCCUCAGCCUCCGAAAGUGCUGGGAUUAGAGGUGUGAGCCACCGUACCCAGCUGAGUUUCCAAAUAUUUCUGAUUUCACCAGCGGGGGAAGACUGGCAGGCUCCUAUAUCCUCGAAGUAUCCUGCCAUGAGAUGCCUGCAGAGUGGGGAAUGGCAUCACCUUUCCAACCCUGUGCAGCACCCAGUGCGAGCUGCUUAUUAGUGGGAACUGGAGAGGAAGAGGAGGAAAAGGAGGACCCAUGGCCAUGGCUUUUUCUGUCCUUGUAACCCUCAACUGAUAUGUAUCCCAUACUUCUUGGUUGGGCAGAGGGGAGAGCAGAGGUUGACAGGUCACAUUUCCCUCAGUUUUCCAUCCUUCCUUCAGUGCUGGGAGAGAAAAGCAUACGACAUAGACAGGGAGGUCAAGCUCCACCACGCAGAUGAGGUGCAGGCCACCAGUCUUCCUCUGCCACAUCUCUUUCUGAAAAGGACUUCACAUUCACCCUUGCAAUCCAUGUGGGGACACUGUUGGAUAGGAGGCGUGGUCCCAGCGUGGUCUCCCUGUCUGGGCCUCUGCCUAUGCCAAAUGUUUGCCUUACGCUGCACACUCAAGAGGUUCCAUGUAUACAGAUGGGAAUUCCAGAGCUACAGAAAAGGCAGCAAGCACCAUGAUUUAAGCUAACCAGUGUGGAUUCACACCUUCCUCUCUCUCUAUCAGUGGCAGAACUACCAGCUAGAGUAAGAAGUGGUUGAUCCAGGACCUAAACAUUCUGGAAACUCUUGCCCACUUCUGGGAGAAAUGACCCAAUCCAUAGUACUAAGCACACCUUAACUUUCGUAGGACGCAGGCAAGUUGUCAUACCGUGUGCCUAAAUAUAGAAAAAUGAUCCACUGGACUAAUAAAGUGUUAAAUAAAAUAUGUCCUGACUGUCUACUUUGACAACAUACUUUCAUAAUGACAAAACUUAAAAAUGUAUAAAGCUAUGGUUUUUAUAUAGUUGAAAAUUGACAAAACAGAAGACUAAAUUUACUUAUUAUUGCACAUGAUGGGCGGGCUAUGUUUGGUUGAG
rnacentral:lncRNA from 1 species